GAAAUGCGAUAAGUAAUGUGAAUUGCAGAAUUCAGUGAAUAAUCGAAUCUUUGAACGCACCUUGCGCUCCUUGGUAUUCCUUGGAGCAUGCCUGUUUGAGUAUCAUGAAAUCUUCAAAGUAAAUCUUUUGUUAACUCAAUUGGUUUCUACUUUGGUAUUGGAGGUCUUUGCAGCUUCACACCUGCUCCUCUUUGUUCAUUAGCUGGAUCUCAGUGUUAUGCUUGGUUCCACUCGGCGUGAUAAGUUAUCUAUCGCUGAGGACACUGUAAAAGGUGGCCAAGGUAAAUGCAGAUGAACCGCUUCUAAUAGUCCAUUGACUUGAACAAUACUUUUAUGAUCUGAUCUCAAAUCAGGUAGGACUACCCACUAAACUUAAGC
rnacentral:misc_RNA from 1 species